GUUCCAAAUGGUGUUGACGCCAGCAGUAUAAGAUGAUGACGCUGUUCGUCCCAGAUAGUUCCAACCGCUUUGAUAGUUCCCAUCUCUACCCAUGUUUCUAUGCAUUAGGAGUAGAGACUCAAUGUUUCACAGUUGAGUUGCAUUUUGUUUUGGAUUCGGUACAAUCGUCAUCACACUCUCUUUCUCAAGAACACUGUCCUCUUCUAGCCACUGACCGUAACCCUACCCGGCGAGAUUGCCGUGAUUUUCUGAUGGUGAUGGUGAUGGUCUGAUGGAUCUAGGAGGAUUGACAGUUUGUAGCAAUAUUGUAGAAUGAGAUGUUUAUUUCAUUUUAUUUGAAAUGGAUGAGUGCUCUGCAUAUUUGUUAGGAGAGAAUCCAGGUUUAAAACGUCCAUUGCCGGAGAUGUCAAGAUUUUUUAGUAGUUGAUGCAAAGGAGGAGGACUUGUUGGGUUGUGGUGAUGUCCCCAGCCUAAUUGAUGGAGAAGCAAUCCCUCAUCUCAAUGGUCGAUAGUCCUGUGAUAAAUUUCUCAUCGGUCACAUAGAGCUUGAAAAAAUCAUCUCCAUGCAUGUAUGAAAUCCCAAUGACAGUUGCAAAAUAAAAUUGAAAGUUUGGGAUGAUGAUCUAUGAUAUUUAUUACUGAUUGAUAGAGCUGACAUGUGAUUUAACAAGUAAUGAGGGUAGUUUAGGCUUCAUUAUCUUUAAUAAUUUUUGGCUUGGCCGUCAGGGUACUGCAAUGCUAUGGGUUGAUAAAGAAAGAAGGGAAAUAAACGAGAAAGCAAGACAAAAUUGGCAGAAUCACGACAAAGGACGUACCCUGCAGUGAAUUGAGAGUCGCUACUGGAAUAUUUCUUUUUGACUGCAUACAUCCUGAGACUCUUGUUUUGGACCUUCACGCUGUUCACUAGAUGGUUUUUCUAGGUUCUGCCGCCGAAGAUGAAGAGAGUGCUCCUGUGUUUCUUUGGAGCGAAAUGGAAGAGUUGCCUCAACGUAUCUAAGGUCCCACUGAACCAGGUUGAGAAGUGGAAGAAGCAGAGGGAGAAUGAGACAUUUGUAGGGCCCCUCGAAAUCGUCUGUUUGAGAGUCUCCUCGGUUGCUUUCGUGUCUGCGCUACUACUGACUUGUAGUUGGAAUUUAUGCUCCUGUCAUGUACUCUCUUCCAACAUUCGCUGCAGAACAUCAAGUGAUGCUUUUCUCUAUGUUGCAUAAAUAGUUCAGCAUGCUUAUGUAUUCUCAGCAUGCUUAAAUGUACGCAUGUCUUGCCUGGGACUUGUGAAUGCCGAGAACCUACGAGACAUUUUUGGUUCUAAGUCAUGCUGAUGUGAGAGAAUAUGUUGUUGUUAUGUGACAGCGCAAUUAUGUGAUGAUAUAUUGAUUCCAAGUCAAGAGAAUUAUGUUGUUUA